rnacentral:rRNA from 1 species
GACCUCGGAUCAGGUAGGGAUACCCGCUGAACUUAAGCAUAUCAAUAAGCGGAGGAAAAGUAACCAACAGGGAUUGCCUCAGUAGCGGCGAGCGAAGCGGCAACAGCUCAAAUUUGAAAUCUGGCCUCACGGUCCGAGUUGUAAUUUGUAGAGGAUGUUUCGGGUGUGGUCCGGUCUAAGUUCCUUGGAACAGGACGUCAUAGAGGGUGAGAAUCCCGUAUGUGACCGGGUGCCUAAGCUCAUGUGAAACUCCUUCGACGAGUCGAGUUGUUUGGGAAUGCAGCUCAAAAUGGGUGGUAAAUUUCAUCUAAAGCUAAAUACUGGCCAGAGACCGAUAGCGCACAAGUAGAGUGAUCGAAAGAUGAAAAGCACUUUGGAAAGAGAGUUAAACAGCACGUGAAAUUGUUGAAAGGGAAGCGU